CUGGGGUCAGGUCCAAAGCAAACUGCCUGAUUAGCGAAACAAUUUGUAUUUUACAAUGACAGCAAAUAGGUAAAUCUUGUGAGCAUCAGGAAAUCCUGGAGGAUUUUGAAUGGGAGCACUGACGGGUUUGCAGGUUGGAGUUUGAUUAGAAGGAGUCAUUGCCUCUGCUUUUUUGCACUCACGUCGCAGGGAUGUAAACAAGAGGGACCCAAUUUGCUAAGGAUUGACGAGCCCUCAGAUGCCGAUUUACUGUACAUGGCAGCCACGCUGGAGCCGAGGCACAUCUGGAGUGGAGUAAGCUUACUCAGAAACAGGGGCCAGCUCCAGCCGGAGCCAGCGGAGCUGAGCGCGGCGCUGAAAGGCAGCCCUCCUGCCUCCCCUUCCCUCCUCCCUGGAUCCCAGGGCCAAAAUUCCUCAUGAACCGCCUUGGACAGGUCUCAGUCUUCUCACCCAGGGAUGCACUGGGCAUUACCUCCCUAUGGCUGCUUAAAACCAGUCGAGGUGAAAUUCGGUAAGGAAGGGACUGACAGCGUGGCAGAGGUGUUGGUCAGCUUGGAAAGACUGAACUGCACAUCUCCAAGGUCUGUAACAACCUUUCUGUGCCUGAAACCUGAAGCAGCAUCAUGGGUCCAGGGACAAAUCCAGGGGCGGUACACCAUUUUGCAUUAUCUAGGUGAUUACUGAGACAGAUAAAAUGGUUUGUUUGGGGAGAAAUGAUUUAUUUGGAAAAAAACAACAUUUCUAUGCAGAAAAGCUUAUGGAACCAGUCUCAAAAGUAAAGCUGUUUGGCAAACUUCAGAGAGACCUUGGCAGUUGACUGAAAUCUAAACUUUUCACAGGGACAGUUGGAUUUUGGCUAAGUUCUUCUGGAAGCCUGCAGGGCUCUGGAGGAGUCCUGCCAGGCUGGCAGACCAUUGCUCAACCCUCAGACUGCCAGGAUAGAGGAUUGAUGGCCUGUCAUUGCAGAAUGGCCCACCAAGUAGAGUACCUUUGAACUAGAGACCUCAGGGCUUCCAGGUUUCGAAACUGGGACAACACUUGUUUUGAAACUUUGUUGAUAUGUUUUGAUAUGCAUUGGAAAUAUUUUGAUUUCAAUGAAUUACCAAAUCCUGACCCCAAAAUAUGUUCCAUAGGAGUUUUUUGAACAGCUUUAUUCCAGUCUAAGUUUAAUGACUCUGAGGGGGAAAAAAAAAAAGGUUUCUCCAAAAAUAAAGUAGAAAUAAAACAGAAUCCAAUGAAUGACUCUGAAGCAGGGUUCAUCUGACCCUAUUUACUGGGUAUCCCUGUAAUUCCGCUGUUGUCCUUGGAUCUCCAGUAGACUGGUCUGGGCUCAGUUAAACAAUUCUUGUCUUAAUUUUGAACAUGAUAUCCUGAUAGUAAUUGUUUAACUGUUUUUUUUUUUCUCCCUUUCCAUUUAGCGGACAUUUGAAAUUGAUUCAACUUCUUGUUUUGCACUAGUGCCAAAAGUGUCCAUGAAGCCUCGAAAUGAAAUCUUCUUGGUAGAUGACUACGCAUCCUGCUGGUUAUGCUAUUGUGAUUAUAUUAAUAGCAUGUUCCCCAACUUAAGCAAUGUGCAGGUGCAAAACUCUCAUUCAGCAGUACAUAACUCUUUCAUCUGCCGUUUCUUGCCAGUAGAUUUCCUGCCCAUAUGAAUGUUUCUUGUGAAAUUUUUGGAGAAUAGCUGCUGGGGUUUUGCCAGUUGUAAGAAAACAAACACACAAACAACCCCCUUCCAGUACUCAGCAAACUCCCCCUUCCCCAGUCUUCUCUUUUGGAAACUACGACUUCGUAGUAGAUGUUCUAGAUCUAACAAAAAAAGACUAGUUGUGAAAAAAUAAACUUUGUGGAUUAAUGUACCAAAAGUAAAAAAUCUGCUAGAGCUGAGUGGUGCCAAUAAUGUCACCAGAGCCUGCCUGUGUAUGGGUAUGUCCCUUUGGCUCACGUGGGUGCCUCACUUUAAAUAUGUGCCCAUGCCUAUCCUUACUCACUCACUCACUCUGUAAAGGUUUAUUUGAAUCCUAUCCAGUUAUAUUAGACUUAAAAGAGAAUUGGCCGUGGCAAAUAAUAAUCAAUUUUUAAAGAGGCCUUAACACAGUGGCUUGGUUUUUUUUUUGAAGCAAACGCAACUUCGGGACUUACGUGCAUGCUCAAGCAGCAGUGAAACCUGUGGAACUUGCAUUCACAAACUGUGUUUAUUCCAGUGGGCUUCGUGCUCUGUGAACAUCAUGCAGAAAUGAAGACAGAAGAGCAAUUCGAGAAUCGGAAGAGAUUUAAGGGUUUGAAAAGUGUAUCAGUAGGUGUUAGUAUGCAAAAAUAUAUGUGUGUGGGAAAAGGGCAGUUAAACUAACCUAGCUAGUAAUACUGUACUUUAAAGGGCAAUAGAUCUCUUUAACAUCUAAAUAAAUGGAGAAAUCUGCCUAGAAGUAAAAAAAA